AUUGAACGCUGGCGGCAGGCCUAACACAUGCAAGUCGAACGAAGUCUUCGGACUUAGUGGCGGACGGGUGAGUAACACGUGGGAACGUACCUUUUGGUUCGGAACAACUCAGGGAAACUUGAGCUAAUACCGGAUGAGCCCUUAGGGGGAAAGAUUUAUCGCCGAAAGAGCGGCCCGCGUUAGAUUAGCUAGUUGGUGAGGUAAAGGCUCACCAAGGCUACGAUCUAUAGCUGGUCUGAGAGGAUGAUCAGCCACACUGGGACUGAGACACGGCCCAGACUCCUACGGGAGGCAGCAGUGGGGAAUCUUGCGCAAUGGGCGAAAGCCUGACGCAGCCAUGCCGCGUGAAUGAUGAAGGUCUUAGGAUUGUAAAAUUCUUUUACCAGGGACGAUAAUGACGGUACCUGGAGAAAAAGCCCCGGCUAACUUCGUGCCAGCAGCCGCCGUAAUAC
rnacentral:rRNA from 1 species